UUCAAGAGUUUUUUUUGUGUAAGCAAACAAGAAUAGUCUAUCAAGGAGAGGAAUUCGGAACCUUUUUAUGUUAUCGCGAAUUUAACGUGAGACAUUGACGGUACAGUGAAAGCGAAAGCACCCCAAAGAAAUAUCAUACUGUAGCUUUUGUACUCUUCGUUAUAUGAACGGACUUGUUUGAAAAAAUAAAUUGUUCGAACUCGUGUAAAGUCGAUCCCAAAAUACAUACGGCGGAAUAAAAUAACAUACAAUGUUGAUUGACACAACUGGAGAGGACUCUAGAGGAAUGUUAUUAUUAAUUUUUUUAAAUCUGUGAGUUAAAUAAAGAAGGUCUUGUGCUUCCAUUAAAUCGAUUUGAGGUGACAUUGAUUCCAUUCUUUCAUAUGGGGAUGUCACACGAUGAGAAAAGUCCCUUAAAAAAAAUUUCUUCGUUUUUUUGAAGGGUAUCCUUUGACAAUGAAUACUAUGUCGGAAUUACAGAUCGUGUCUCAUUUUUGUUUGAGUUUUGAUACCCCUGAAUGUCGAUUUGAAUUGUGUUACCAAAGAAGGAGCGUCUGCCUUUUUACAAUAAAGCGAUCUAGAUAUGCAAAUAGACCCUUUUAAAGGAUUUGAAGACAUGUAGGACAAGAUCUUAUUACAGUUCUUUAAUGUUGAGUCUGUUUGAUUAAGAACUGCUUUUCUUGAAUUCCUUUAUGGGUAUAACGCGUGUUGGAAUAAAAGCAAUCAUUGGGUUUAGAACCCAAACAUAUUUUUGUAAUAGGCUCAAAUGCUGGAUAUAGUAAUGAAAUCAUAGUAAAAUGUUAUAAAUAAAUUAUGAAAACAAGCUGAUGUAUUUGUUUGCGUUAUAAUACUUUUCAUAAAUAAAGCCUUCAAGUGUAAAGAGUCGAGGGUAUUUUAUGGUUCUUUAUUAAAAGUAUAAACAAAUUUUUCUAAAAUCCUUGUUUCAACUUUGGUGAAUGAAUUAAAGCUUUUUACAAAAUUUAGAAAAAAUUAAAAGCAGCGAAUCAAUUUGUCUAAUUUUAGUUGAGUGCUUAAUUGUUAUUGAACUAAUACUAACAUGAAGAUACAAGGACCACGAUAGUUGGAAUACAUAUAGAAUGGAUUAAGAAGCAGGUAAUAAAAAUUCGAAUAAGCUUUAUGCAGUAAAGAAAAAAUCCGUUAUAAACAUGGUUAGUUUAUCAAAAAGAGAAUUGGGUUCAUUUUGUGUACCUUGUGGUCUAAAGCAAUAGAAUAGUUUCAAGUACGAAAAGGUAAAAGUUGCAG